AGUGAACGCUGGCGGUAGGCCUAACACAUGCAAGUCGAACGGCAGCACAGGAGAGCUUGCUCUCUGGGUGGCGAGUGGCGGACGGGUAAGGAAUACAUCGGAAUCUACUCUGUCGUGGGGGAUAACGUAGGGAAACUUACGCUAAUACCGCAUACGACCUACGGGUGAAAGCAGGGGACCUUCGGGCCUUGCGCGAUUGAAUGAGCCGAUGUCGGAGUAGCUAGUUGGCGGGGUAAAGGCCGACCAAGGCGACGAUCCGUAGCUGGUCUGAGAGGCUGAUCAGCCACACUGGAACUGGGACACGGUCCAGACUCCGACGGGAGGCAGGAGUGGGGAAUAUUGGAGAAUGGGCGCAAGCCUGAUCCAGCCAUACCGCGUGGGUGAAGAAGGCCUUCGGGUUGUAAAGCCCUUUUGUUGGAAAGAAAUCCAGCUGGCUAAUACCCGGUUGGGAUGACGGUACCCAAAGAAUAAGCACCGGCUAACUACGUGCCAGCCGCCGCGGUAA
rnacentral:rRNA from 1 species